UAAACAACCCAGCAGUCCGCUGGCCAUUACAAUUUUAUACCCAUUUGGAUGCUGUUUUGUCAAUAGGAAAAAAUAAAAUAACAGUGGUUUAUAGCAUACAACUAGCAUCCGAUUUGGAUGAGUCGCGUUGCUAUUACAUUGUGGAACAAAAUCCAUAUUAGAAUUAAAGAACAAAACAAAAUAUAAUAAAAUGUGUCCAUCGCACUUGCAUCUGAAUCGGAUGCCUUUGUAUUGUUUUGUAAAGUUUCUUUGUGUGUGUUUUUGCAGCCGGUGUUGUACCGUUGUUCAUUUUUGAUGCUUCUUUCUUUUUUAAAGCAAAAUUUUAUUCUGUGAAGAGUUUUUGAAAGUGCAAGUUGUGAAUAUUGAAAAAAGUUAAUAAAAUAAAUUAAUAAAAUAAGAAUAUAGUAAGUGUUGUGUGUUAAAUAAGUUAAAUAAAAUGUCAGGAUUCAGUAGGAUAAAUUUAAGAAGAUUAAAGAAAGUGGAAUCAGACAAUUUAAAAAGAAAUGCACAGUUCAGGGCUGACUGUUUGGAAAACAAUGAUAUUGUACUAAAUGAGCAGAUUCCAUGCAUUCCAAAAUUGUAGAAGAUUUUGGAAAAUAUGUUAGUAUCAUAAAAAUUGUAAUUUCACCAGAUGGCCUUCUGCAAGAUUAUUGACAUUUCUAUAAUAUUAUCUUACAACUAUGAUGGUACCCAAAAUAAAAAGGCUUUUAAGGAAUAUAAACUUUUAAACAUGGUCAUUUUCGAAGCUGUCAUAUGUGAAGGAUUCAAUGAACAGGAUUACGCCAAAAAAAAUUAGAAAUUGUUUCAAAUUCCCUAAGGCCAGAAACUUCCGAACAAUGUCCUACAAUAAAAAACUGGAAAAAUUUAAUUUUUCCUUUAGUUUAAGCCUUGUUUCUCCCACGUCUUUUGAAAAAGUUUUAUGAAUUUUUUUAUGCAUUAUUUCUAAUUACAAUAAGAAUAUUUUAUUGUUGAAAACACUGUUCUAUAAUACGAAUAUUUUAAUAAAAAACAGCUGAAAUGUAAGUUCCACAAUCUUAAAUGUUGAUGGAAUCGGACCCAUCCAACCUUCGCUUACAAUGUUGAUAGAUUUCGGACCCAUCCUACAUUCGCUUACGUUGUUGGUCGACUUCGGACCCAUCCAACAUUCACUUACAUUGUCGGUAGAUUUCGGACUCGUCUGACGGCCUAGGCCAUCGCUGUGUAAAUGUAAAUAGAAAAUGUAUACAGGCUUUGGAUGGGUCGCACCUACAUUGUCAUUGGUCUCAGAUGGAAGAUGUAUGUGCUAAAAAAUCCGCUGGGAAUUUGGUCGCAUCGAGCCGGAUUUGCCAUGUUGAGAAGUUUGCUGGCUAUUAAUUGCUGUUUUUUGUUUUCUUUUUGCAAAAGAAUCAACUCCAAAACAUACAUCCCCCUUCAUAAAUCGCACCACCUCAUCAACAUCAUCUUUUUUCAUCAAAAUCAAAAAAGGUCCGUAAGUUUAGUGAAAUUUGUUAUUGUGAGCUUAGAGUGCUAUUUUUCUCUAAAAAAAAAAAAAACAAGUGAAAAGUGUUAGUUUUUGUUUGCUUCGCGGCACUGGUCGCCUUUGUUUUACCCUAAUUCGCGGUAUCUUUAAAUAUACAGUCCACAACAAUUUUAUUUUGCCGAAAAAUCUAUUAAAGAUUUCUUAAAAUCGAGAUUUAUUCGCAUUAUUUUCCAUUUUAUUGCGAAAUAAUCGAAUUUCCCGGUUAAAUUGUGUUUAAUAAUUCACAUUUAUUAGAAAACAUAUAUUUUUGUUUAGAAAAUAAUAUGCCGCUGUGGUGUGCAUAAUUUCGUGUUCGGUUAUUGCAAUAUUCACCACACAUUUCUGCAUUGUCGAGUGAUCUCUUUUACAUCUCA